GGCAUCGCCCUCUGUCCCAAAUGCACGCUUUUUAAAAAAAAAUGCUGUCAGAAAACAACAGGAGCCCCUCUAGUUUUGAGCUCAUGAUUCCAACUGAUCCUGGUGAUACGGAGCGGAACAUCCUUCUCGUGUUACGAAACAGGGCACAGCAGACUAAUGGCUGAUGUUUUUGAUGACGCCCUGCGUGAAGAUAGGAAGAGGGAGGGAUCACAGAAUGGUGGUGUUUCCUGUAAAUUGUACAACAUGAUUCCUGGUACAGAAAAAAGCCAGGGGAAAACUCAACUGGAUGAGCAGCUUUCUAAUCUUAGCUGGGAGGACAUCGAGAAACAAAGAAUGGACUGAAGAAUUUGAC